rnacentral:rRNA from 1 species
GUGCCAGCAGCCGCGGUAAUACAGAGACUGCAAGCGUUAUUCGGAUUCACUGGGCGUAAAGGGUGCGCAGGCGGCCGAGUGUGUGAGGCGUGAAAGCCUGGAGCUCAACUCCAGAAUUGCACCUCAAACUACACGGCUAGAGCAUUGGAGAGGGUAGCGGAAUUCACGGUGUAGCAGUGAAAUGCGUAGAUAUCGUGAGGAACACCAGAGGCGAAGGCGGCUACCUGGACAAUUGCUGACGCUCAGGCACGAAAGCGUGGGGAGCAAAAGGGAUUAGAAACCCUUGUAGUCC